GUAAAGUAAUAAUAAUAAUAAUAAAAACGUUUCUUGGCAACCAGCUCCGAAACGCAUCCUCCUUACUCCCUCACGCUGACUAUAAAUCAAGCUCAAGCUUCACUUAAGAAUCCACAGAUAAAUUUAUCUAUUUCUACUUUUUCUCCUUUGAUUUCUCUUCCAUUGCAUAUAUGCACUUUAUACAUAUGAAAUUCUCAAUGAAGAAUCCAUUUAUCGAUCUCAGCUCUAUCUCUUUUACUGAAACUGCUAACAAGCAUUGCGGAGGAGGAGGAGGUAAAAGAGAUCGUGCCAGGAAAAAAAUUGUUCUAAAGAUACAGAAGAAGCAGUUUCUUAUGUUAAUGUGGAAAGUGUCAUAUGGACUUUAUCCUCGCAUUCAAUCGACUGUGUCAACUGUGUUAUACAUACAUACAUAAAUAUGUAUGUAUGUAAGUAAGUAAUAGUGAAACGUACAAAUUAUAUACUUCUUCUCACUCUAUCUUUUUCUCUUUUUUCUCCUCUCUUACAACAGGCAAGGGAUGCCGAAAGUUACCCAUGAAAAUUUGUUUGGAAUAUUCAUUUGAGCAAGAUAUAAUGCGUAGCUUGUGUGUUUGAAGGACCAUGGGGUUAAAUGGUUUGAGAACCUCGGCCUCGGACCUUCAUUGCAAUAAUUUUUUAAGGUUCAAGAGAUUAAGUAAUCAAGUGACUUUAAUCUUGAACCUUCUUUGAAUCAAUUUUUUGAGGAUUUGGGGGUUAAAGGGUUACAUAACCUCGACCUCGAACUUGUAUUAAAUUUAUUUUUUAAAAGUUUCAAGGAUAAAUAUUCAAGUAAUUUCAACCUCAGUUCAUCACUGCGAUCAUAUUUUAAGGAUUAGGAGAUUAAUCGAUCUUGAAUUUCAAUCAUGAUUUUUUGUUGAGCCCAUUUUUGAAGGAUGAAAGGGUUAAAGGGUUAGACAACUUCAAUUUUGGACUUUUAUAGAACUUAGAUUCUUGACCUUAAACCUUCAUUGAACUCGUAAAAUUGUUCCUUAAUGUUUCACAAUAAAUGUAAACCACCUUAGAACCUUAAUAAUUUUAUGUCUUUCGUGUACUCCUCAAUCAUGUGAUUGAGAUUUUGAAUUGUUAAUGAAUAGUAAAUUCAUUUUUGCUUA